GCCUGGGUGGCUCAGUCGGUUGAGUGUCUGACUUCGGCUCAGGUCAUGAUCUCACAGCUCGUGAGUUCGAGCCCCACGUCAGGCU
rnacentral:tRNA from 1 species